rnacentral:rRNA from 1 species
UACGUAGGGUGCGAGCGUUGUCCGGAAUUAUUGGGCGUAAAGGGCUCGUAGGCGGUUUGUCGCGUCGGGAGUGAAAACCAGGUGCUUAACACCUGGCUUGCUUUCGAUACGGGCAGACUAGAGGUAUGCAGGGGAGAACGGAAUUCCUGGUGUAGCGGUGAAAUGCGCAGAUAUCAGGAGGAACACCGGUGGCGAAGGCGGUUCUCUGGGCAUGACCUGACGCUGAGACGCGAAAGCGUGGGGAGCGAACAGG